UGUGCUUCCUAUAUUUGCAAAUAUAUUUAUAAUAAAAUACACAAACCUAACUUGGUUUAGUCUUCGACUGUCUUUAUUUGUUUCACUUUCCUAUUUUUCAAAACCUACACCUGCUGCAAA